rnacentral:rRNA from 1 species
AUGUAAUGUAAUUUCUACAACGUUAAUGCACCAGAUCCUAUUAGACCCCCCCAGUUAAGCGUGCUCGGGCUAGAGUAGUAUUGAUAUGGGUGACCUCCUAGGAAGUCCUAGUGUUUUACAUG